rnacentral:ribozyme from 1 species
UCCAUCCUAAACGAAAUGGAGGAGCUUAAUAAAAAUAAUAAUGGCGAAAAUAAAAAUAAUCGCAAUGUCAAACCAGAUGCAAGAAGUAUGAACUCUGUCAUGCUCUGUUUAGCUAAG